UGGAAAUAUUGGUGGGAUCAGUGGCAUUUGUUUGUAUACUCUUGUAUGGGGUUUUGCCUCUUAUUGUGAUACCAGUGUUGUACGUUUUAACAGGAUCUCUAACAGUCUUGGCUGCAUGCACAUGUAACCUGUGUCUGGUCAGAACAUCACAGACAUUCAGCUUCAUUAAUAUUUUUGUAAUCACUUUUUCCUUUUGCCAUUUCUAUGGUUUAUUUUUUUGUUAUGGGAUGUGACUGGCAUUGUCCUUACUGUCAGUGGUAAUCUGGUCUUGGUUUUCUCUGUUGUUGUUGCUGCAACUUCUUGCUCAUGUUGCUG